CACCAACUUGUCUCCCUCUGAAUUUUUCACACCAUUUCCUCACUUAAUAUCUCAUUCUUUCAUCUCCUUCCUUCUAUACACAUAGUCAUAAACCAAUUGGUCCUAGUUUUAAGCUAAGGAAAACUAUACAAAGUUAGAACAUCCAAAGGGAGUGAAAAUAUGUAGACUAAAGGUUUGAGCAAAGGAUAUAAAUGCUAGAGGUCAUCCAAACCAACCAAGUUGUCUACAAGAGGUAAAGGCAAGGGCAUAGCGGACCAGUCCUAAGAUGGAGAGCUUUGGGGUUGAAUGUACAUAGUCAGCUGAUCAGCCGCCACGGCCGAGGAGUGGUACAUGACGAGGAAAGCCUAAUUGUUUGUUUUGCCUUAGAGUGGCUAGCGAUCGUAUUUUAAUGUUUAAAUUUUGUAAACUUUCUUUUAACAUUACUACUUUUGGGA